rnacentral:rRNA from 1 species
UACGUAGGGUGCAAGCGUUGUCCGGAAUUAUUGGGCGGUAAAGGGCUCGUAGGCGGUCUGUUACGUCAGGAGUGAAAACUCGGGGCUCAACCCCGAGCCUGCUUCUGAUACGGGCAGACUAGAGGUAUGCAGGGGAGAACGGAAUUCCUGGUGUGCGGUGAAAUGCGCAGAUAUCUGGAGGAAUACCGGUGGCGAAGGCGGCAUCCUGGACCGACAUUGACGCUGAGGAGCGGAAAGCUAAGGGGAGCAAACGGGG